rnacentral:tRNA from 2 species
GGGAAGGUGGCAGAGUGGUUGAAUGUACCUGACUCGAAAUCAGGCGUACGGUAACCCCGUACCGGGGGUUCGAAUCCCCCCCUUCCCGCCA